rnacentral:rRNA from 1 species
GUCUCAAGACUAAGCCUGCAUGUGCAAGUAUAAACGCUUGAAUCGUGAGACUGCGAAUGGCUCAUUAAAUCAGUUAUAGUUUAUUUGAUGGUGUUCCGCUACGUGGAUAACCGUGGUAAUUCUAGAGCUAAUACAUGCAAAAGGUCCCGACUGUCGCGGGAGGGACGUAUUUAUUAGAUCCAAAACCGACCCGGUCGGCGUCUCACGGCCCGGCCGGCGUUCUCGGGUGAUUCAUGGAACUGUUCGAAUCGCUCGGCCUCCGAGCCGGCGAUGGUUCAUUCAAGUUUCUGCCCUAUCAACUUUCGAUGGUAGCGUAUUGGGCUACCAUGGUCGCAACGGGUGACGGAGAAUUAGGGUUCGAUUCCGGAGAGGGAGCCUGAGAAACGGCUACCACAUCCAAGGAAGGCAGCAGGCGCGCAAAUUACCCAAUCCCGACUCGGGGAGGUAGUGACAAGAAAUAACAAUGCCGGUCCCAUCGAGGUCCGGCAAUUGGAAUGAGUACAAUCCAAACCCCUUAACGAGGAACAAUUGGAGGGCAAGUCUGGUGCCAGCAGCCGCGGUAAUUCCAGCUCCAAUAGUGUAUGCUAAAGUUGCUGCAGUUGAAGCGCUCGUAGUUGUACGUCGGGGCCCGGGCUCCGUCCCUCCCUCGCGGCGGGACGCCCCGCUCGGUCGUCGCGGUCCGCCGAGAGGCGAGCACUGCGCGGCGGCCCCCUGUUCUCUCGGAGGCCCCGGUUGCUCUUGACUGAGCGGUCGGGAUUUCGGGACGUUUACUUUGAACAAAUUGAGUGUUCCAAGCAGGCCGGUCGCUUUGAAUACGUUAGCAUGGAAUGAUGGAAUAGGGCCGCUCGUCCUAUUUUGUCGGUUUUCGGGACGGCAGUCAUGGUCGAUAGGGACAGUUGGGGGCAUUCGUAUUCAGUUGUCAGAGGUGAAAUUCUCGGAUUUGCGGAAGACGAACGACUGCCAAAGCAUUUGCCAAGGAUGUUUUCAUUAAUCAAGAACGAAAG